AGUGAACGCUGGCGGUGGGCCUAACACAUGCAAGUCGAACGGCAGCACAGUAAGAGCUUGCUCUUACGGGUGGCGAGUGGCGGACGGGUGAGGAAUACAUCGGAAUCUACUUUUUCGUGGGGGAUAACGUAGGGAAACUUACGCUAAUACCGCAUACGACCUACGGGUGAAAGCAGGGGAUCUUCGGACCUUGCGCGAUUGAAUGAGCCGAUGUCGGAUUAGCUAGUUGGCGGGGUAAAGGCCCACCAAGGCGACGAUCCGUAGCUGGUCUGAGAGGAUGAUCAGCCACACUGGAACUGAGACACGGUCCAGACUCCUACGGGAGGCAGCAGUGGGGAAUAUUGGACAAUGGGCGCAAGCCUGAUCCAGCCAUACCGCGUGGGUGAAGAAGGCCUUCGGGUUGUAAAGCCCUUUUGUUGGGAAAGAAAAGCAGCAGGUUAAUACCCCGCUGUUCUGACGGUACCCAAAGAAUAAGCACCGGCUAACUUCGAG
rnacentral:rRNA from 1 species